rnacentral:rRNA from 1 species
UGGGGAAUAUUGCACAAUGGGGGAAACCCUGAUGCAGCGACGCCGCGUGAGCGAAGAAGGUUUUCGAAUCGUAAAGCUCUGUCCUAUGGGAAGAUAAUGACGGUACCAUAGGAGGAAGCCCCGGCUAACUACGUGCCAGCAGCCGCGGUAAUACGUAGGGGGCAAGCGUUGUCCGGAAUCACUGGGCGUAAAGGGUUCGCAGGCGGAAAUGCAAGUCAGUUGUGAAAGGCAGAGGCUCAACCUCUGUAAGCAAUUGAAACUGUAUUUCUUGAGAUGUGGAGAGGCAAGUGGAAUUCCUAGUGUAGCGGUGAAAUGCGUAGAUAUUAGGAAGAAUACCGGUGGCGAAGGCGACUUGCUGGACAAAAACUGACGCUGAGGAACGAAAGCGUGGGUAGCAAACAGG